rnacentral:tRNA from 1 species
GUUCGGAUAGCUCAGUGGGUAGAGCGAAGGAUUGAAACUCCUUGUGCCGGUGGUUCGAGUCCACCUUCGAACA